AAGGAUGUGCUGUUCGCUUAGAGUGCCACACUCCUGCCUCUGCCCACCUGCAGAGAAGCCUGAUGUCUGGACUGACAGGGGAAGCACCUGGUGUACCACGGCCAGGGCACCUCUGGAUCCUAAGCCCAGGUGCAGAGGAAAGGUCCACAUGGGCCUUGGUCCAUCCUGCCGCACCCCAAGGAACCUGGACCGGGCCUGGAAGGUUACACCCUGCACCCCCUGGGAGGGCAAGUUGCCCUCUCCUCUCCUCCAGCAUGGGACCUCAGUGGACAUGGCAGGGGCAUCUCGGAACAAAUGCCUGGGGUGCAGCGGGUGAGGACCUCAGCUCCCAGCUAGGAAGUCAUGGAGGAACUGAUGGAGGGAAUGAGGCGCUUUGGGGUUGGGAGUCUUUACUGUUCGGCAGCCUUGGGCUCCAAGUGAGGGGGGCUCUGCUGCAAGCUCCAGGCCACUUGCUCUCUGCCACCUGAGCCAGCCCUUCUUGGCUGGGUGACCAUGUUCAGGGUGGGUGGCAGAUCACCUAAGUAACCACUAGCCCUGCUGGCUUUCUGUGGGUCUGACCUUGCUGUCUGCCCUGGGCUGGGAGCAGGGACACAGGGGACCUGAAUCCAGCCUGGGGAGGAGCCCCUGAGCCUGCAGAAAGCUGUGGUUGUGGCCUAGGUCCAGUGGGUGCUCUGUGGCCAGGGCUCCCUGGCUCCUUCCUGAGAAGGCCUCUGCCAGGUAUGGACAAGCAAAGAGGACAGGACAGACAUGUGAGUGCAUCACUGUGUGAUGCUGGGGCUGCUGCUGAGACCCAGGGUAUGUGCCUGGCACACUCUAGGCCUCUGGCUCCUUCUUUCCCCUCCAGGAUGAGUGAGUGAACCCCUGGAAUUGCUCUGCACAGAGCCACGCCCUGCAGGAUGCAGACAGCAGCAGAAAAGCCCCUGCCACUCGCCCAGGGCAGGUCCUACAGACUCCGAGGUGGCGGCGAUUGGGACACAUGCUCCUCUCCCUCCCAUCUGCACUUGUGGGGACUUGAUGAGGUCACUCUCAGGGUGUGGAGGAGCAGGCCUGGCCAGGUGGACAGAUCCCAGUGGGGACAGGCAGGCACCAGGAGGACUGUUCUGUGUCCUGCUGUCCAGGAGCCCUCACCCUGCAUUUCCACACUGCUCUUGGCCCUAAACAAGGCUGCCCAUCAGCUGUCCAGGGAGCAGCAAUGUGCUGACCCUCGCCUCUCCUGGCCCAAGGUUUGCAGAUGGGUCUGAGGGGUCAGUGGCAGUAAUGUGAGUCCGUCUUUCUGGGUUUCCGUUUCUUAUAUUUGCCUUCAAUUUUCCAAACCCUGGGGCUGUGCCCAAGAGGGUUGUAUGCUUGAGUGAUGGCUGAGGGCCACAAUCCUCCAUGAGUCCAGAGAGAGGGUCCCUGGGCUGUGUGGGGCCUAUGGGGAGAGAAAGUGCUGGGAGCCCCAAGAGUCACUGGACAGCCACGUGUCCCUUACUCGGUGUCCUCUGAUGAACACAUGCCCUGGAUCAGGUCGGGCAGAGUGGCUCCAGGCUGAGCUUCUGGACUGCUUUGGACAAGCAGCCUGGCCCCUCUAGGCCCCAGUCCCAGCUGCAGGGUGUGUGGAGACCUGCAGAGUGCUGAGAGGCUGGGCUCGGUGGCCCCUCCGUGAGAGAUGUACUGUGCAUGUUUGACACGAGAGGCUUUCAGCUUGGGCUGAGCGUGCUGGGAUACGGCCCACCCUGAGCCAGCAGCUGGAGGAGACCCUGCCUGGAUGUGGGCAUCAAAUCUGGCCAGAAGUAUCCCUCAUGGGGUGAAGAGGAGCUGGGGCCAAGGAAGAUUGCUAGUGGUUGGCCGGCCCCAGGGAUAGCAACAGUGCGGUCACACUGAAACGAGGCCAAACCUUGUCUGCAGCUGCUGUCCAUGCCCCAAGUGUCCCUCUCUGCCCUGGCUCUGCCUUGACCCUGGGAUGUCGCCAAGACCCAGCCACCAAGGAGUCACCCUUGACCUUGCCACCAGGAGUGAGGGAAGAGCUUCAAGGUCUACAGUCAGAGCCCUGGCCUGGCCACCUGCUGCCCAUACUGCCCAUGAGCAGGGUGGGUGUGAGGCUUUAUGCUCUGUGUCCUGUGUAAGCAUGGCACAGGCAGUUGGCAUCAAGUCCCAGGGCCCUAGGAGUCAGCACCCAGAUGGAGCAGCUGCCUGUUCAGGCCUUGGAGGGCCCAGCACCUUCCUGCCCUUUCCAUCUGCCAGGCAGUGGGCUCAGUGCUCCUGGGGACACUUCCAACACUCUGGGGUGAAUACUUCUGGCUGUAUCCUGCCCUGGUGCCCCCUUCCCCAGCCCCAGAGCACAAGGGCAGGGGCUUGAUGGCAAUUUAGGGUGGCUGAGGGGCAGCAGCACACAGGAAAUGAAGAUGACCAUGUGUUUCCUACACCCACUGUCCAUGUAUGAGGCCUGGCUGCCUUCAAAGGCCCCUGGGGCUCUCUUGUCACUGUCUGUGCUUCCCUGAGCUCCAAAGCAGAGCCAUGUGGACGCAGAGUGAAGGCUUGGUGUCCUACAGGGGCUCAGGUAGAGAGAGCCCUUUCUGGUGAGGCACCCCAGCAGCCCCAAGCCUCAUGGCACAGAAGGCCUGGAGCAUCUGGGCCACAUGCCAUGGUACUCCCUGUAGAUCGGUUUCUGCUGGCCCUGCCAGGCUGGAACCCUGGUGUGUGUGGGCUUCCUUCCUUCUCCGCUUCCCAGGCAUCCAGUGUGUUUACCUGGGCUGCUUGCACAUGUGUGCAGUGAAGUAACUGCCAGAACCUUGAGCGACGCAGGGCUCACUGCCGCACAAGCCCAUCCCUACCUGUCCCCAAUAGUGUGUGACCUUGGAGGGUCUCUCUGACCAAUCCUCCUGAAGUUUCUUUGUCUGUGAAAUGGGUGUAAUUGUGCAUUCCAGGAAACAAUGUGUGUAAAGUAAUAGGCACAGGA